GAUGAACGCUGGCGGUGGGCCUAACACAUGCAAGUCGAGCGAACAGACGAUAAGCUUGCUCUUCUGACGUUAGCGGCUGGCGGGUGGGUAACACGUGGAUAACCUUCCUAUUUUUCUUGGAUAAUUUCGGGAAACCGCUGCUACUACCGGCUAAUAUAUUGAACCGCUUAGUUCAAUAGUUCAACACGGCUUUCCUGUCUCUUUUAGAUGAUUUCGCGCCGCAUUAGCUAGUUGGUAAGGUAACGGCUAACCAAGGCUACGAUGCGUAGCCGACCUGAGAGGAUGAUCGGCCACACUGGAACUGAGACACGGUCCAGACUCCUACGGGAGGCAGCAGUAGGGAAUAUUCCGCAAUGGGCGAAAGCCUGACGGAGCAACGCCGCGUGAGUGAUGAAGGUCUUCGGAUCGUAAAACUCUGUUAUUGGGGAAGAAAAAAAGUGUAAGUAACUAUGCACGUCUUGACGGUACCUAAACAGAAAGCCCCGGCUAACUACGUG
rnacentral:rRNA from 1 species